rnacentral:lncRNA from 1 species
GUCCGCGUUUGGAGCUGGGCGUGCGGGUCUGUGGCGGCCUCGGCAUUCGGGGCGUCGGGAGGCGCCCGGUGCAUCCCUGGGACGGCCAGGAGCAAAGACGGAGAGGAGAGGGGGGUUAGAGAAAGGAGGUAUUGUGUCUGUGUGCCUUAGGGGAGGAGGGGACUGCAGGAAUCGAAUAAACGCAGUCGAGCUGCGCGGGGCUGCUAGAAGCCCAGGCGGGGGAAGGGGGCCGUGUGUGGGGGCGCAGAGCGCCCUUGAGCCUUACGCAGAGGUCUUGUGUGUUCCUAGUUAAGCCCUCCCACGCCCGAGGCCCCAUCGCUUCCUCUCCGCCCUCUUUACCCACCAAUAUUCCAAGCCCAGAUCCUAAUUCCCCACCGCAUUACCCCGCCCUGGAUUUGGGGAAUGUUUUUCUUUAUUUUAAUAUAGCUCAAGGAAAAAAUACGUAUAUCUUGAGAGAGUUGGGGUGGGGAAAACAAAAGGCUUGCGGAGUAGAAAAAAACAAAGGCCUAUUUUUAUAAAUGUUUAAUGUUUUCACCCCCUGGAUGCUCCGAGACGCCGUAAUUGUGACGGCGGGGUACGUGUGCCAUAAAUCAUUUAAUUGCUAAUAAAAAUUCUGCCUGUUUGCCCUGGA